UUACGACAGAUUUCGCUACUCAGCGAUGGAAGACUGUUUAAGCAGCUGUGAUAGUUCAUAUUUCACACUAUAACUAAAACAGUCGCCGUCUCAGGCUGAUCGAUGGAACGAUCGUGAUAUGCCGCAGCCAGGAACCCAGUGAUCGAAACAAAUCGCAAGAGGCUGAUGUUUUUUCUUUUCCUUCGUGGAUUCCUGGGCCGAGUUCAGCCAGACGGAGUAGCAAAACGUUCGCUAGAGUGGUUGAUGCGCUUCACUAUAAACCAAAUGGCUACGUCGAGAAUCAAUUAAAUAGUUCGCUGGCUGAACUAGGGUCUGAUGUCGUUGCCCUUCGAAUCUAUGCCGUGGAAAAUACCGCGACACAGGAGAGUGGCUCAUCGCUCAACCAAUGUUGGCUUGACAUCAGGACGGAGAAGAUAAUAUAAAUAUCUGUUCAAAACUCUGGAAACGGUGAAGAUAAUAUUCAGACUAAAAACAAUAUACUUAUAGACAGGACACCAUAGCCUUAAACAGAAGAUAAUAUAUCUUGCAUAAGAAUUAAAAAUAUUCCGACAGAGAAGACAGGGUUAUAAUACAUAGACUUGGAAAAUAUUAGAGAAGAUUCUUAUAGAUGGACUUGGACAUCAUAGCCUAAAAAUAAUGUGUAUACCUUGCAUGGAAUCAGAAAAUAUUGUUCUAACAGAGAAGAUAUUGUUAUAAUAAACUCCGAACCUAUAAUCCUAAAAGAGAAGAUAAUACAAUUGUACUCAGGAAAUGUUAACGUAACAGACGGGCUACUUACUACUAGUGUGUUUACAUACAGAACCGGAUAGUUCCAGCCUAUCAGUGUAAAGCGAGAAUAAUAAUCCGUUCUCUUACAGUCUGACCUAUAAAAGGUGGUUUUAUUCCCUCAUGCGCUGACAUACAUUAAUGUUAAGUACAUAUACCUGUGUUGUAUUCGUGAUAUCACCUGUAGCAUCCAGGUAAACGAGAGACAGAGGAAGAGAGAGAGUUGAAGACAGACCGCUGCGGACCACAGUUACAGGAUGGCGGAAUCCACGAGGAGAGUUGUCAUCGCCGCUGAUCUCAGUGAACACAGCGACUUUGCCUUUGACUGGUACCUGCAUCAUUUCCACAAACCAGAGAACCACGUGUACGUGGUCACGUGUCCGGAGUUCAACAUGGGUCCGUCCGAUGUCUCCGCUGCCAAGAUUGAGGAGAUGAUCGACGAGGCUAAUGCGAAGUCAGAUCAACUGAAGAGAAAAUUCCUACACAAGAUGAACGAAAACAACGUGACAGGAGAGUUCGUUGCGCUGGACGAAACCAAGGUGGGUAAAGCAGUCUGUGAAUUUGCCAACAAAGUGAACGCCAAUUACAUCGUGACCGGAACUCGAGGAUUGGGUAAAGUCCGGAGAACGCUCCUCGGCAGCGUCAGCGACUACAUCAUCCACCACUCCCACUCGCCUGUGGUGGUGUGCCGACCACCUGUACACCAUGAUGAUAAACAUCAACACUGACCACGGCCUUGACAUCAGUCAUCCAUAUCGCCGCCACUGACCUCUGGUGGCUAAUUUUCUUAUUUGUAUAAUCGGACUUUGUACAAUGUUGAAUGUUUCUAUGGCUACCAGCUCUUCUAAUGUGUUUGUGUAUUUCUUCGAAAUAACUAAUUCCAUAAAGUGUACAAAAGCUAAAUUAAGAAUUUUCAGACAAAAAAAAAACGAUAGAAUUUUGAAAAUAUUUACAGAAAUUUAAAGUUUAUUCAGGGCCUUAUCGUUCCAGAAUAAAAUACGAAAAAGGCCCUUUUAAUUGAGAAACGUGUAUCCUUUUUGGUUCAAAUCGAAAAAGACCCUAUGUAAAGCCCAAAACACACAGCAGCUGCGUGUCGCGAGUGUGGUGCAAAGACACCAAGUCUGGUGUCUUUUUUAGGUCUAGGUCUUAACUGUUACGGCUCGAACAUUGUGCAGCUGCCAGUCUGGUAGUGUGAAAAUACAGUACAUGUUCUAUGUCGUCUGUUGCCGGAUCUGAAGUCCACUCAUGCACAGACGUGAUGUGUUUUAUCACAUUUGAUA
rnacentral:misc_RNA from 1 species